AAUUACUUGAUAAUUUCUCAAUGUCAGAUUCCCCCUGAUACCCACUUCUUUUCAUAAAAAAAUUUUCCUUCCAUUAUUCACUCGACACACCUCAUUUUCCUUCGAUUCUUCCCUCAAGCCGUUUAUCCCCUCAACUCGGCACUCGUUGGAGUCUCUUCUCGGCUCUCCUUCGUCUCAGCUAAGUUUCUAUUCAUGUGCUUAUUUAAUGCGUGAUUGGCUGGUGAAAAUUAAGAGAAUAAUUUUGUUCAUGUAAUGGGUUUGAAACAGAUUGCUUUGUGCAGUGUGCACUAUUGAUUAGAAAUGUAAUGCUUGUUUUUCUUUGUGUUCUUCAGAAUUGAUUAAAAUCCAUGUGUAAUCCUUAAUUUUGUUCUUCUGUGGAUCAAGAUUUUGAAAA